rnacentral:rRNA from 1 species
GCUUAACACAUGCAAGUCGAACGAUGAAGCUAGAGCUUGCUCUGGUGAAUUAGUGGCGAACGGGUGAGUAACACGUGAGUAACCUACCCCGAACUCUGGGAUAACUGCUGGAAACGGUAGCUAAUACUGGAUACGACCUACGAAGGCAUCUUCUGUAGGUGGAAAGAAUUUCGGUUCGGGAUGGACUCGCGGCCUAUCAGCUUGUUGGUGAGGUAAUGGCUCACCCAAAGGCGACGACGGGUAGCCGGCCUGAGAGGGUGACCGGCCACACUGGGACUGAGACACGGCCCAGACUCCUACGGGAGGCAGCAGUGGGGAAUAUUGCACAAUGGGCGCAAGCCUGAUGCAGCAACGCCGCGUGAGGGAUGACGGCCUUCGGGUUGUAAACCUCUUUUAGUAGGGAAGAAGCGAAAGUGACGGUACCUGCAGAAAAAGCACCGGCUAACUACGUG